rnacentral:rRNA from 1 species
UACGUAGGGUGCAAGCGUUAAUCGGAAUUACUGGGCGUAAAGCGUGCGCAGGCGGCUUUGCAAGACAGAUGUGAAAUCCCCGGGCUCAACCUGGGAACUGCAUUUGUGACUGCAUGGCUGGAGUGCGGCAGAGGGGGAUGGAAUUCCGCGUGUAGCAGUGAAAUGCGUAGAUAUGCGGAGGAACACCGAUGGCGAAGGCAAUCCCCUGGACCUGUACUGACGCUCAUGCACGAAAGCGUGGGGAGCAAACAGG